CACGCGGUUAACGAUGAGUGGUGAGCUGUUAGGGUGUUUCCGCCCGUUAGUGCUGCAGCUAACGCAUUAAGCGCUCCGCCUGGGGAGUACGACCGCAAGGUGGAAACUCAAAGGAAUUGACGGGGACCCGCACAAGCGGUGGAGCAUGUGGUUUAAUUCGAAGCAACGCGAAGAACCUUACCAAAUCUUGACAUCCUUUGACAACUCUAGAGAUAGAGCCUUCCCCUUCGGGGGACAAAGUGAAGGUUGGUGCAAGUUUGUCGUCAGCUCGUGUGGUGAGAUUUUGGGUUAAGUCCCGCAACGAGCGCAACCCUUAAGCUUAGUUGCUAUCAUUAAGUUGGGCACUCAAAGUUGAAUGCCGGUGACAAACUGGAGGAAGGUGGGGCUGACGUCAAAUCAUCAUGCACCUUAUGAUUGGGACUACAAACGUGCUACAAUGGACAAUCCAAAGGGAAGCGAAACCGUGAGGUCCAGCAAAUC
rnacentral:rRNA from 1 species